CCCUGUGGAACCCUAAACGGCCGCGGUACAAAACCGUGCAAAGGUAGCACAAUCACUUGUCCCUUAAAUGAGGACCCGUAUGAAAGGCAACAUGAGAGAAAACCUGUCUCCUAAGGUCAGCCAAUGAAAUUGAUCUAUCAGUACAAAAGCUGAUAUCAUAAAGCAAGACAAAAAGACCCUAUGGAACUUUUAACGAAUUACUUACACAAAAUUAAGCAAUAGUUUCAGUUGGGACAACUUUAGAAAAUAAACCUCUAAGACCAACAAGUCGACCCAGUAACACUGAUAAACGAAACAAGCUACCCUAGGGAUAACAGCGCUACCUUCUCAAAGAGUCCAUAUCAACAAGAAGAUCUACGACCUCGAUGUUGGAUCAGGGUACCCAGACGGUGCAGCAGCUGUCAAUGGUUCGUUUGUUCAACGAUUAACACCCUACGUGAUCUGAGUUCAGACCRGA
rnacentral:rRNA from 1 species